rnacentral:lncRNA from 1 species
AAUAAGCGGCAAUAUGGUUCCCCAACCUCCUGGAAAUGUAAGUUUGUGACUUGGAUUCGGAAGAGAUGUCUGAACGGCGCCAUCCUAGGACAGACAGGGGGGAGAGGAGGCCACAACCUGCUCAGUGUUAGUCACUUCCUCUGCCCAGUGUACCGCAUGAGCAGCCAGCCAUUCUAGCGCUUACCACUUGGCAAACUUUCUGCGCACACCUUCGCUUAGUAAUGAUUUUCUUCAUGAAUUCCUAUUUCGCAGCCACUUCUUUAUAUAUUUAGAAUUCCUUCGAUAAUAAUCUAGAGAGAACGUUAAGCUUUUUUGAAAUUUGGUCCCUAUAGGCCAAAUUGUCUGCGAACCUUCCUCCCUCAGACCCCAGAGGGUAAGCAUUAGUAGCCAUCGCAGCAGUCUUUCAGGGGCCCCUAUUUGGGUUGACUGUUGAUUUCAGCAAUCCUUCUAUCUUCACCUCCAGUGGAAUUACAGGUGUGGGUGUCCACACCUGUUUAUAGUUCUGUCGGGAAGGGGGAGGAUGGUCUUAUUUUAUUCGGGCGUUUCCACUGUAGCUCAGGCUGACAUGGAACACUAACACAAUCCUCUUGCCUCAGCCUCUCAAAGUGCCAAGAUCAUCACCACGUCUGGCCAUCAGCAGUAAUAACAAGUCUCAUAUUUCUGGCUUUGGGGUGUCAAGGCACUCGGAAUAAACAUCUUCCUUUUC